rnacentral:lncRNA from 1 species
GAAAACACGAACAAGCAAACCAAGGAAGGGCAGAGAAGGCUUGGAGACAAUCUUUGUCAAUAUCAGGGAGCACCCUGGCAGAUGGGAAGAAAAAACUUAGACAGACACUUGGCAAACGUCCUGGAAGAAGUCAAUUUAGUACUAAUGUAGGUGUAGGUGGGACAUGACAUGGAAAAGUAGAAACACAGGGAAAUAGGUGUUCUGUUCUUUUCGUAAAAUGGAUAUCACAACAUUGAAAUAGCUCACAAAGUGAAAGUAAGGCAUAACUAACACAGAUUAGCAUAAGGCAUCUUUGGAAACAAUGUACUCCUAAGAUGAAUACCAGAAAAACAUUUGCUUGGCUUCUGGAAGCAACAUGAGGCCACAGGAUGAAGAUCUGAAGCACAUCGUUAGCCCCUGGCAGCUGUCUGGCCAACGUCAGCAGAGAUUCACAGAGGCAAAAGGAAGACACACCUUUCCCACAUUUCCUUGGUCAGGCCCCCACUGAAAUGUGACUGCAAGGCUAAAACAGGUCCAAACUCUGCCAGAGCCCCUGGCAUCCAUAAUCCCCAUGAUGACAGAGUCCCAAAGAGCUGGGUAUUUUUUCCAGUAGUGCCGUGGUCUACAGCCUCAAUCAUUCUCAUACUAGCUAGAAUCCUGACUUAGGCAAAAUCAAGGGCCCAAAGUGAAUCAUUGACUUUUUC